rnacentral:rRNA from 1 species
AGAGUUUGAUCAUGGCUCAGGACGAACGCUGGCGGCGUGCUUAACACAUGCAAGUCGAGCGGAAAGGCCUUUCGGGGUACUCGAGCGGCGAACGGGUGAGUAACACGUGAGUAAUCUGCCCCUCACUCUGGGAUAACGUCCAGAAAUGGGUGCUAAUACCGGAUGUACACCGGCUCCUGCAUGGGGGUGGGUGGAAAGGGUUUCUGGUGGGGGAUGUGCUCGCGGCCUAUCAGCUUGUUGGUGGGGUAAUGGCCUACCAAGGCUUUGACGGGUAGCCGGCCUGAGAGGGUGACCGGCCACACUGGGACUGAGACACGGCCCAGACUCCUACGGGAGGCAGCAGUGGGGAAUAUUGGACAAUGGGCGGAAGCCUGAUCCAGCAACGCCGCGUGAGGGAUGACGGCCUUCGGGUUGUAAACCUCUUUCACCAUUGACGAAGCUGUGCCUCUUUGGGUGUGGUGACGGUAGGUGGGGAAGAAGCACCGGCCAACUACGUGCCAGCAGCCGCGGUA